UUUGGGUUUGGCCCUCGCGGCGACCCGUACCUUCCCGCCGCUCCUCUCGCUCCGUGCUCUCCCCCCGGCCCGGGGAAAUGGAGGAACCCCCCGAUGGCUUCGGCUCCCAACGGUCGCUCCCCGGCGCUGGGUCCAGAGCGGCCCGAGGAGGGGAUGCUCUGUGUGCCGGAACGGUGAGAGUUUCUCAGAGGCAAUCCUCCCGUUGCAGCUGCUGACAGCACUGAAAACCUGUGUGCUUCGUGGUGUCCAUCGCCCAGCUGGCAACGAUUCCCUGGUGUUUGGUGCAUUAAGUCACACCCAGCUGUGUGGGAUGGCAGAGUCAGGUGGGCCCUUUAUUGAACAGAUUUAUCUGCUACAAGGCUACGCAGAAGGAUGGAAAGGAGGAACACAGGGGGAAAAAAAAAUAGAUGAAAGGCCAUGCAUUGAUCACCUGAUGUACUCCAGAGACAAACAUGGCUAUUACAGGGGCUGGUUCUGGGGUAACAAGGAAACACAAGGCCUAAACACCUCUGGCUUGUCUGUCCAAGGAUCUGCCUCAAUUGUGGCUCCCAUCCUUCUGAAGAACUCUUCAGCACAAGGCAGGGUUCCUGGACGAGGUGACCCAGGACAGCUUCGUGCUGGGCCCGGGCUACGACCGCCCCUAGCAGCUGGAGCCCACGGUGAGGGAGCCCAAGAGCAUCCAGCUGUACCAGCACCUCAGCCUCAAGAGCUGCAUCUGGACCUUCGACGCUUAUUACGACAUGACCGAGUUAAUUGAUGUCUGUGGGGGCUCUGUCACCGCUGA